AGUAAAAUUGUUAGAUCAUAUGAUAACUCCAUGUUUAGCUUUUUAAAAAACUAUCCAACAUUAUUCUAAAGUGUCUGUACCAUUUUAAUUUCCACUAGUAAU
rnacentral:pre_miRNA from 1 species